rnacentral:ncRNA from 1 species
GUUUUGGUCCUAAACUUGCCGUUACCUACAACCAAAAUUACACAUGCCAGCAUCCGCCCACCAGUGCACAUGCCCACAACAGAAUCUGCCAGCCAGUAAAAGAGCUGGUAUCAGGCACACCCCUUGUAGCCCAAAACACCACGCCUCGCCACACCCACACGGAACUCAGCAGUGAUAAACCUUAAGCAAUUAGUACUUUUAAGCUUGACUUAGUUAUGGUUACCUGGAGCCGGUAAAUUUCGUGCCAGCCACCGCGGCUAUACGAAAGGCCCAAGGUAACGCCAGCGGCGUAAAACGUGCCUAGAAUUACAGCUCAACAGUGAAGCUAAAACCCAGACGUAGCAGUAGAAUGCACACUAACAAAAAAUCACCACAAAGCUUCAUCACACCAACCAACUUUGACGCCACGAAACCUGAGAAACAAACUAGGAUUAGAUACCCUACUAUGCUCAGCCGUUAACCUAGACUGCACAACAACCAGCAGUUCGCCAGAAAACUACAAGUGAAAAACUUAAAACUCCAAGGACUUGACGGUGUCUCAUAUAAACCUAGAGGAGCCUGUACUAUAAUCGAUAACCCACGAUACACCUUACCCUCCCUUGUCAAAUCAACCUAUAUACCGCCGUCGCCAGCCUGCCUUUUGAAAGAAAAUACAGCGGACAGCAAAGUAAAUAUCCAUUAACCACUAAAACGUCAGGUCAAGGUGUAGUUAAUGAGAGGGCAGAUAUGGGCUACAUUUUCUAGUAUAGAAAUAACCAACCGCAAUAUGAAAUACAAGCCAUAAGAUGGAUUUAGCAGUAAACCAGGCAAGACAAGCCCACUUGAAAUUAACCCUGAGACGCGUACACACCGCCCGUCACCCUCCUCGACAACAACAAAAAAAUCAUUAAAUAAAACAAACCCACACCAAUAGAUGAGGUAAGUCGUAACAUGGUAAGCGUACUGGAAAGUGCGCUUGGCUCCC